UGAAACCAUAGGUCUGAUACCAUGUGAUGUUAUGAAACCAUAGGUCUGAUACCAUGUGAUGUUAUGAAACCAUAGGUCUGAUACCAUGUGAUGUUAUGAAACCAUAGGUCUGAUACCAUGUGAUUGUAUGAAACCAUAGGUCUGAUACCAUGUGAUUGUAUGAAACCAUAGGUCUGAUACCAUGUGACUGUAUAAAAUUAAUUUGAAUCAAUAGAUUAUUAUAAUACAUGUGUGUAAGUGUUAGACUCAUUCGAUGAUUAUAUUAUAAUACUGUGUGUGGUUUUAGUCAGAAUCAACAUUUUGGGAACAAUGUGUCUAGUGUUUUGAGAACAGACUGUCUGUCUGUGCCAGAUCCGGGGAGACCUUGGCUGGACACUUCCCAGUCCCAGGUCUCUCCCUAUCUUAGGGGUGGGUGGGAAGACACUAUUCUCACGUUCUCCCCUAGGCUCUAAUGGCGGGCGGAUUUGAUGGUUGGUGUGGAAGUAUGUGUGUCGCUAUAAAUUGAAGGUCCUGUACACGUCAGAACGUUCCCGUGAAUAAACAUUUAACUUUGGUAGACUGGGCCUCUGUCCGUUUCCUUUUCUAUCAGUAUCUUACAAAUCCUGAUAUAACAGACUAAGGGUAACUGAAUUGGUAAAUGAACAGGAGUAUAGAAUUCUCCUGACAAGACUUCACACAGUACAGUAGGUAGAGGAAAUAAAGGUGUGGUCAGAAUAAUAAACCCCCCUUGGUAUAUGUUUAUGAUAGUCCAGUUUUGUCCAUACGUAGUGGAGACCCCACCUGUUUUGAG
ensembl:lncRNA